UCACAACAGGUCGAAUGAAGAAGACAUCUGGAGUUUUCUUCUUUAAGGACUGCGGUGCCACAGGCGAUCAGUGCGGAGCCUCACCCAGCAGGGGGAUCUUCGCAUCUGAUUUAACCUUUGUAGCAUGUUGAUAUAUUUUCUUGCUUUGUAUACAUAUGAUAUGUAGUUGCAUGUGCUCCAUACAUAUGCAUGUUAUAUAAAGGUUUAUUUACUGUCUAGUGAUUAAAAUACAUUUUUGCAAUAUUAUUUAACCAAGGUAUUAAAUUAUUUGUAUUUUAGAACAUUCUUAUAGUAUUAUGCAACAAAAUAGUACAUAUUUUGGCAGAUAAUUUCUUCGUAAUUCAAGAGAGGAGAGUAAUUGCUUAUUCCUGUGUGACUUUUUUUUUUACCUUUUGACUGUGGUAUUUGGUAUCUUUCAUGCUUCUCUUUGGUAUGGAUCUUCAAUAGGACAGGAGCCAUUCUCCAUUUAGGAAUUUGGUCUCUGGUAUUAUUAGUCAAGAUGAAGAAGGUUUAUAUUAAUGUGGAUUAAAUUUCCUUUCAUUGCAGACAUACAGUUAGAUACGUUGUUCCCAUUGUUUCUUGUGUGAAUAUUGGACCAAUAAAUGAUAAGAAAGACUU